AAAAGAAAAAGCGAUUACACAGAAAAUGUUGACAAGUGAACAAUCUGGCCUGUGUCACCUCUAUGCAGUUUGGAUUCUCAGAACCCAGGAAUGAAAUGAGCUACAAGCUGCAAUAAUAUUUCAAUAUUUGGCCAGCCUCUUGUCAUAAGAUUAGCCUCCCGACCUUUGAUACAACUGAUGGCAAGAUGAUUUCACCACCUACAGAUUGAGGUUUCUUGGUAAUAAUUACUUCAGAGUGCUGCUAGGAUCAAGAUUAGAGUCCAAAACAGUGUUUUCUUCGCCUCACUGUAAAAUUUGCUCUUUUUUCCCUUACUUUUCUGUCUUCUCCUUUUCUUACCCUCACACUUCCUAGUGCAUCAUUUCCAAGGAGACCUGCAGAGGGCUAUGCAGUCUGUGCUGGCAAUGGCAUUGCUGCUGCAUAGUGGGAGCUGCAAGUAUGUGGUAAAAGCACAAUCCUUGUUAAUGUGGAUAUACCUGGUAUCACUAAUGUGUGGCUAUAUUGAUCCCUUAAGGCCACCCUCAUCCUGCACUUCAGAGAAGCUCCAAUAAAUUAUUCUCUGGGUAUUUCAGCUUCAGCCAAAGAACCAGGUCAUAAACUUGCAGCCAGCAUCAGAUUAUCACUGUGGUUAUUUACACACAAGUUUCUCUGAAAUAAAGCUGUGGUAGGAGAGAAUCCUAAGAAAUAUUCUUCUUUCAGGAAUAGGUAAGAAAUAUUUUUUUAAAAAGUUAUCUGUAUCAGCAUUUAUUAGUAACUAAUCAUUACCUUAUCAGUCUUGACUAUCCUACUGUCACUGCCUAAAGAGUGAAAUUAUGGUAAAGACCUAUUUUAAUAUCCUUAUUCAAAAGCUAUCCUGCUUUAUUAGCAGUUUCAUAUCCAGAUCCUUAAGUGUUUAAAUUACGGUCUCCCCAUAUGUAUGUUUUUCUGUUUGUGAGGGAUGACAUCACUAGUAGAAAGCAUACUUCUGGUGGCAACUUAGGACCAGAUGUGAUAUUCCAUUUUAAGGGAAUAUUUGCAUUUCUGGAGGUUAGAGCUUCAGCAACGACCUCUGUACAUCAUACAUAAGUCCCUCAGGAUGUGUAUGUGUACUAAGUAGAUGACACCUUACUCUACUCAUUUACCUUCAUUUCACCUCUCAUCUAGUGAUGACUUCCCUAAAAAAUGCAAUGUGAUGUAUUUCCAUUUCACUGUUAUUUAAAAUCUACAAAUUCAUAUCAGAUUUCCAAAGCCCAGAAUGGUAAUACUGCAUGAAAACAAAAUUAGCCUUCAAGACUAUAGAAAGAGCUAAGUAUAAUUUCAUGUUUACAUAUUAGAUAGUGCAAUGUGUUACAUCAAAGAUAAAUCAGAAUAUAUUUUGUGCAGAUUUCAUUGUGAUCACUAAAGAUUCCCAGCCUUACUUGUAUAUCAAAGUCACCUUUAGACUGUGGUAACCUUCUGCCAAUAAACUACACUUAAAGUCUUGGCAUUGAGAAUAAAGGUGGCAUACUGCUAUGUUAAACUGG
ensembl:lncRNA